rnacentral:misc_RNA from 1 species
AUGCGAUAAGUAGUGUGAAUUGCAGAAUUCAGUGAAUCAUCGAAUCUUUGAACGCACAUUGCGCCCCUUGGUAUUCCAUGGGGCAUGCCUGUUCGAGCGUCAUUUGUACCCUCAAGCUUUGCUUGGUGUUGGGCGUCUUGUCGUAUUACGACUCGCCUUAAAUUCAUUGGCAGCCGGCACUUUGGCCUAGGAGCGCAGCACAUUUUGCGAUCGUAGCCCGUUGUACUGGCGUCCAUCAAGAACAUUUACCACGUUUGACCUCGGAUCAGGUAGGGAUACCCGCUGAACUUAA